GUAGGUGGCAAGCGUUGUCCGGAAUUAUUGGGCGUAAAGCGCGCGCAGGGCGGUCCUUUAAGUCUGAUGUGAAAGCCCACGGCUCAACCGUGGAGGGUCAUUGGAAACUGGGGGACUUGAGUACAGAAGAGGAAAGCGGAAUUCCAAGUGUAGCGGUGAAAUGCGUAGAGAUUUGGAGGAACACCAGUGGCGAAGGCGGCUUUCUGGUCUGUAACUGACGCUGAGGCGCGAAAGCGUGGGGAGCAAACAGGACUAGAUACCCUGGUAGUCCACGCCGUAAACGAUGAGUGCUAAGUGUUAGGGGGUUUCCGCCCCUUAGUGCUGCAGCUAACGCAUUAAGCACUCCGCCUGGGGAGUACGGCCGCAAGGCUG
rnacentral:rRNA from 1 species